AUUGAACGCUAGCGGCAGGCUUAACACAUGCAAGUCGAACGAGUGGCGGACGGGUGAGUAAUAUCUGGGACACUGUCUGAUGGCGGGGGAUAACUACUGGAAACGGUAGCUAAUACCGCAUACCAUCGGAUGUGCCCAGAUGGGAUUAGCUAGUUGGUGGGGUAAAGGCUCACCAAGGCUACGAUCCCUAGCUGGUCUGAGAGGAUGACCAGCAACACUGGAACUGAGACACGGUCCAGACUCCUACGGGAGGCAGCAGUGGGGAAUAUUGCACAAUGGGCGCAAGCCUGAUGCAGCCAUGCCGCGUGUAUGAAGAAGGCCUUCGGGUUGUAAAGUACUUUCAGCGGGGAGGCGUUACCCGCAGAAUAAGCACCGGCUAACUCCGUGCCAGCAGCCGCGGUAAUAC
rnacentral:rRNA from 1 species